UGGGGAAUUUUGGACAAUGGGCGAAGCCUGAUCCAGCAAUGCCGCGUGUGUGAAGAAGGCCUUCGGGUUGUAAAGCACUUUUGUCCGGAAAGAAAUCCUUGGCUCUAAUACAGUCGGGGGAUGACGGUACCGGAAGAAUAAGCACCGGCUAACUACGUGCCAGCAGCCGCGGUAAUACGUAGGGUGCAAGCGUUAAUCGGAAUUACUGGGCGUAAAGCGUGCGCAGGCGGUUUGCUAAGACCGAUGUGAAAUCCCCGGGCUCAACCUGGGAACUGCAUUGGUGACUGGCAGGCUAGAGUAUGGCAGAGGGGGGUAGAAUUCCACGUGUAGCAGUGAAAUGCGUAGAGAUGUGGAGGAAUACCGAUGGCGAAGGCAGCCCCCUGGGCCAAUACUGACGCUCAUGCACGAAAGCGUGGGGGGCAAACAGGAUUAGAUACCCUGGUAGUCCACGCCCUAAACGAUGUCAACUAGUUGUUGGGGAUUCAUUUCCUUAGUAACGUAGCUAACGCGUGAAGUUGACCGCCUGGGGAGUACGGUCGCAAGAUUAAAACUUAAAUGAAUUGACGGGGUCAUAGCUG
rnacentral:rRNA from 1 species